GUUCGAAAAAGUAGGUUUUCCACAUAAAUCAAAAUGGUGGACCGGAACUUCAGUAAACACUGGCAUAUUUGGUAUCUAUGUUAUCGGCAUAAGCCAGGGAAUAUUUUGAGCCCAGUUUCGUUGCAAUAGGCUAAUGGACUAAAAAGUUAUUAGCAUUUUAAAAAGUGUAAUUACUCAUGGAUAAUGAAUGGUUUAUUACUCUUGACCAAUAGGUGGCGCUGUUACCAAAUUUAUGUGGCAUGGUCAGUGUGAGGUGGCGAUGACACAUACAAAGUUUGGUGCAAAUAUGUCAAAGUGUUGCAGAGAUACAGCCUCAAAUGCAUUUUGGCACCCUUCCAGCAAAUUCGUUGAUGCGCUAAAUGAGAACCGUUACGUAUAUCGACACAAAAUCCAUAACUUUUUGCCAGCAUGGUCUGAAGAUGAUUCACGUCAAAUUUGGUGAAAAUCUGAGCAACGGUCUAGGAGGAGUUCGAAAAAGUAGGUUUUCAACAUUAAGCAAAAUGGCGGACAGGAAGUAAGGCCAAUUUUCACAUUAUUGGUAUCAAUACUCUCGGCAUGACCCACAGAAUAUAGCGAGACCAUUUUAAUUUUAAUAGACUAAUUUAUUCAAAAGUUAUUAGCGUUUAUGUGAUAUUUCAUUAUAACUAUUGGCCACAAGGUGGCGCUGCCACCAAACUUUUUGAGUACCUUCAGGGCAUGGAGCCGAAUAUUUUUGUAAUUAUUUGCGAAACGAUACGAUGCUGCGUUCAAAAAAUACAGCAUUUUGAAACAUAAUUCAAAAUGGCCGACGCCUAAAAUGGCCGACACAGGAAAAUUGGAUAUCAUUCGACUCGACAUGACUCACUGAAUCUAAAGAGACCAGUUGUGUGAUUUUUGGCCAAACCAUUCAGUAGUUAUAAGUCAAAAUAUGCAUUUUUCAUAUCUCCUGACCACUAGGUGGCGCUGUGUCGAAACACAGCAGGUAGUCUCAGUUCAUGCUUGUUAUAACACACGCCAAGUUUGGUCUCAAUAUGAGAAACCGUUGCCGGGAUAUAGCCUCACGUGCAUGUUUGCGUGCUUUUCGUCAAAUUUGUUUACGUGUCAUUCGACAACAGUUGGACGAAUCAACUUGAAUUCCAUAACUUUUUGCCAGCAUGGUCUGAAGAUGAUCUGAGCCAAUUUUCGUGGCAAUCGGACUAACCGUCUAGGACGAGUUCGAAAAAGUAGGUUUUUCGAAUAAUUGAAAAUAGCGAAAAAACUAAACCUUGCGAUUUUUGAAUUUUAGGGUUCAUUCGACUUGGCCUGAGCCAAGGAUUCAGAGGAAAAAAGAAUUUCCAUUUUCUGGCUUACGGUUCAAAAGUUAUUAGCAUACAAACAUUGAAAGUUUGGACAAGUGGUGGCGCUAGAGAGUAGGAGUUAGAGGCUUCAAAUUUGCUAUAGUUAAUGUUGGGACUGUCCUCUAUCAGUGUGCCAAAUUAUACAACUUUCCCGCAAACGGUUCUAUGGGCUGCCAUAGACUUGCGGCGGAAGAAGAAGAAGAAGAAGAAGAAUAAUAAUAACGCCAACGAUUACAAUAGGUGCCUACGCACCUUCGGUGCUUGGCCCCUAAAUAUAGCUGCAAGCAGCAAUUACGGGGCCAAGCACUCCAACGGCAAAUGUAGGAGCUAAGCAUCGCAUGAAGCAUCACACCAAAUACAUUAAUGAGCAAUAACUGCAAUUUUGGAAUUAUUGUAUUUGAAAUGGCAAAAAAAAACAAAAAAAACAAUACCACCUCUAGUAGCAUGAUUACUUGGCUUAUCAAGCUUGACCAAUAGGUGGCACUGUUAUAAAAUCAAUUUGGUGUACUCUGUGUGACUUUUCAAUGACACACACAAAGUUUGGUGUCAAUAUGCCAAAGCAUUCCAGGGAUACAGCCUCAAGUGUCAUUUUCUCAUUGUGCCUCAAAUUCGUCGAUGUGGUAUGCGAAAACGGUUUUGUCUAUCGACUCAAAAUCCAUAACUUUGAAUCAGUAUAGUCUGAAGAUCAUUUGAUUCGAAUUUGGUGAAAAUCGGACAUACGGUUGAUGAGGAGUUCGAAAAAGUAUGUUUUCAACAUAAAUCAAAAUGGCGGACCGGAAGUUCAGCUUACUGUGGUAUAUUUGGUAUCUAUGUUAUCGGCAUAAGCCAGGGAAUAUUUUGAGCCCAGUUUCCUUCAAAUAGGCUAAUGCAAUAAAAAGUUAUUAGCAUUUUAAAAAGUGUAAUUACUCAUGGUUAAUGAAUGGUUUAUUACUCUUGACCAAUAGGUGGCGCUGUUACCAAAUUUAUGUGGCAUGGUCAGUGUGAGGUGGCGAUGACACAUACAAAGUUUGGUGCAAAUAUGUCAAAGUGUUGCAGAGAUACAGCCUCAAAUGCAUUUUGGCACCCUUCCAGCAAAUUCGUUGAUGCGCUAAAUGAGAACCGUUACGUAUAUCGACACAAAAUCCAUAACUUUUUGCCAGCAUGGUCUGAAGAUGAUGCACGUCAAAUUUGGUGAAAAUUGGGCUAACGGUCUAGGAGGAGUUCGAAAAAGUAGGUUUUCAACAUUAAGCAAAAUGGCGGACAGGAAGUAAGGCCAAUUUUCACAUUAUUGGUAUCAAUACUCUCGGCAUGACCCACAGAAUAUAGCGAGACCAUUUUAAUUUUAAUAGACUAAUUUAUUCAAAAGUUAUUAGCAUUUAUGUGAUAUUUCAUUAUAACUAUUGGCCACAAGGUGGCACUGCCACCAAACUUUUUGAGUACCUUCAGGGCAUGGAGCCGAAUAUUUUUGUAAUUAUUUGCGAAACGAUACGAUGCUGCGUUCAAAAAAUACAGCAUUUUGAAACAUAAUUCAAAAUGGCCGACGCCUAAAAUGGCCGACACAGGAAAAUUGGAUAUCAUUCGACUCGACAUGACUCACUGAAUCUAAAGAGACCAGUUGUGUGAUUUUUGGCCAAACCAUUCAGUAGUUAUAAGCCAAAAUAUGCAUUUUUCAUAUCUCCUGACCACUAGGUGGCGCUGUGUCGAAACACUGCAGGUAGUCUCAGUUCAUGCUUGUUAUAACACACGCCAAGUUUGGUCUCAAUAUGACAAACCGUUGCCGGGAUAUAGCCUCACGUGCAUGUUUGCGUGCUUUUUGUCAAAUUUGUUUACAUGUCAUUCGACAACAGUUGGACGAAUCAACUUGAAUUCCAUAACUUUUUGCCAGCAUGGUCUGAAGAUGAUCUGAGCCAAUUUUCGUGGCAAUCGGACUAACCGUCUAGGACGAGUUCGAAAAAGUAGGUUUUUCGAAUAAUUGAAAAUAGCGAAAAAACUAAACCUUGCGAUUUUUGAAUUUUAGGGUUCAUUCGACUUGGCCUGAGCCAAGGAUUCAGAGGAAAAAAGAAUUUCCAUUUUCUGGCUUACGGUUCAAAAGUUAUUAGCAUACAAACAUUGAAAGUUUGGACAAGUGGUGGCGCUAGAGAGUAGGAGUUAGAGGCUUCAAAUUUGCUAUAGUUAAUGUUGGGACUGUCCUCUAUCAGUGUGCCAAAUUAUACAACUUUCCCGCAAACGGUUCUAUGGGCUGCCAUAGACUUGCGGCGGAAGAAGAAGAAGAAUAAUAAAUAUAGCUGCAAGCAGCA